rnacentral:rRNA from 1 species
UACGGAGGGAGCUAGCGUUGUUCGGAAUUACUGGGCGUAAAGCGCACUAGGCGGCUUUGUAAGUUAGAGGUGAAAGCCCGGGGCUCAACUCCGGAACUGCCUUUAAGACUGCAUCGCUUGAAUCCGGGAGAGGUGAGUGGAAUUCCGAGUGUAGAGGUGAAAUUCGUAGAUAUUGGGAAGAACACCGGUGGCGAAGGCGGCUCACUGGCUCGUAUCUGACGCUCAGGCGCGACAGCGUGGGGAUCAAACAGG